rnacentral:rRNA from 1 species
UACGGUAGGGUGCAAGCGUUGUCCGGAAUUAUUGGGCGUAAAGAGCUCGUAGGCGGUCUGUUGCGUCGGCUGUGAAAACCCGGGGCUCAACUCCGGGCCUGCAGCCGAUACGGGCAGACUAGAGUUCGGCAGGGGAGACGUGGAAUUCCUGGUGUAGCGGUGAAAUGCGCAGAUAUCAGGAGGAACACCGGUGGCGAAGGCGGGUCUCUGGGCCGAUACUGACGCUGAGGAGCGAAAGCGUGGGGAGCAAACAGG